ensembl:lncRNA
GUUCACAUUUUUGUUCUAUAUAAGUCAUUUAGUAGCAGCUAUGCAGAUUAAAGCUUGGAGCUACAGUACUUCCUAACUUGUUAUAGACUUGCAAACAGAGUUUUAACAGAGCGCGAUUGGCUUGUUUGUAAGUUGUGGCUGUUUUGUUUUAUUUGAGUUCGCUGCGUCGGUCUCCUAUGAGGCAAUACGGCACUCUCCUUAGACCAUGAUGUGUUGUUUAAAACCUAAUCAGAGACUAACUAGUCCCCAGUUAUUUGUUUCGGGGCCCUGAUGCUUGAGAGUUCCCAGAUGUUGUGGAAGAAGAACAGAUCAUGAGAAAUGUUCAGCUUGGGAUAGAAUCGGGUGAUGUUUCAAAGCGGAAAAGAACAAAAAAAGUUGGAUCCCUGUCAGACUUGAUCUGCAGAUCAGGCUGACUCGUCUGUCUCAUCAGGAGCAACUUAUGUGAACAGACGGCUAGCAGCAUGGUUAAAAUAAAAAGAAAAAAAGAACAAAUCUUAUAUUCUUA